rnacentral:rRNA from 1 species
UGGGGAAUAUUGCACAAUGGGCGCAAGCCUGAUGCAGCCAUGCCGCGUGUAUGAAGAAGGCCUUCGGGUUGUAAAGUACUUUCAGCGAGGAGGAAGGCGGUAAGGUUAAUAACCUUAUCGAUUGACGUUACUCGCAGAAGAAGCACCGGCUAACUCCGUGCCAGCAGCCGCGGUAAUAUGGAGGGUGCAAGCGUUAAUCGGAAUUACUGGGCGUAAAGCGCACGCAGGCGGUCUGUCAAGUCGGAUGUGAAAUCCCCGGGCUCAACCUGGGAACUGCAUUCGAAACUGGCAGGCUAGAGUCUUGUAGAGGGGGGUAGAAUUCCAGGUGUAGCGGUGAAAUGCGUAGAGAUCUGGAGGAAUACCGGUGGCGAAGGCGGCCCCCUGGACAAAGACUGACGCUCAGGUGCGAAAGCGUGGGGAGCAAACA